CGUCCAGACUCCUACGGGAGGCAGCAGUGGGGGAUAUUGCACAAUGGGGGGAACCCUGAUGCAGCGACGCCGCGUGGGUGAAGGAGUGCUUCGGCAUGUAAAGCCCUAUCGGCAGGGAAGAAGCAAGACGGUACCUGACUAAGAAGCCCCGGCUAACUACGUGCCAGCAGCCGCGGUAAUACGUAGGGGGCAAGCGUUAUCCGGAUUUACUGGGUGUAAAGGGGGCGCAGACGGCAGCGCAAGCCAGGAGUGAAAGCCCGGGGCCCAACCCCGGGACUGCUCUUGGAACUGCGCGGCUGGAGUGCAGGAGGGGCAGGCGGAAUUCCUAGUGUAGCGGUGAAAUGCGUAGAUAUUAGGAGGAACACCAGUGGCGAAGGCGGCCUGCUGGACAGUAACUGACGUUGAGGCUCGAAAGCGUGGGGAGCAAACAGGAUUAGAUACCCCAGUA
rnacentral:rRNA from 1 species